rnacentral:rRNA from 1 species
GACGAACGCUGGCGGCGUGCCUAAUACAUGCAAGUUGAGCGCUGAAGGUUGGUACUUGUACCAACUGGAUGAGCAGCGGACGGGUGAGUAACGCGUGGGGAAUCUGCCUUUGAGCGGGGGACAACAUUUGGAAACGAAUGCUAAUACCGCAUAAAAACUUUAAACACAAGUUUUAAGUUUGAAAGAUGCAAUUGCAUCACUCAAAGAUGAUCCCGCGUUGUAUUAGCUAGUUGGUGAGGUAAAGGCUCACCAAGGCGAUGAUACAUAGCCGACCUGAGAGGGUGAUCGGCCACAUUGGGACUGAGACACGGCCCAAACUCCUACGGGAGGCAGCAGUAGGGAAUCUUCGGCAAUGGACGAAAGUCUGACCGAGCAACGCCGCGUGAGUGAAGAAGGGUUUCGGAUCGUAAAACUCUGUUGGUAGAGAAGAACGUUGGUGAGAGUGGAAAGCUCAUCAAGUGACGGUAACUACCCAGAAAGGGACGGCUAACUACGUG